CCUCUAGGCCACACCUUUUAUUCGUUUAUAUUUAUUUAUGGAUUCAUUGUUUUAGAGACAGGUUCUCACUCCGUUGUCCCGGCUGGAGGGCAGUAGUGUGAUCACAGAUCACCACAGCCUGGAACGCCUGGGCUCAAGUGACCCUCCCAUCUCAGCCUCCCAAGUUGCUGGGGCUAUGGGCUCGUGCCACUGUGUCGGCUAAUUUUUUUUAUUUUUAGUAGAGAGAGGGUCUCACUAUGUUGUCUGUGCUGGUCUCAAACUCCUGGGCUCAAGCAAUUCUCCUGCCUCGGCCUCCCAAAGUGCUGGGAUCCUGACAGCCGUGAACCACUGUGCUCGGCCUCUGCAUCUUUUAAGAAGAAAAUGGCUUGUCUCCCAAGACCUGAUUUCCUCCUUCCUCCAGCUGGAACUCAGAUGUGGAACAGAGGAAGUGGCUUCAACAGUGCAGAUUCCAGGCUCCAUGAAGGCCAGCCCCCUCAGUCCCCUGCAUUGAGCCCUGAGCAUCUUUGUGGAAGGAAUGAAUUUGCGAUAGCUGGAUGACUGCAAGGUCCAGAUGUGGAGACAUGUGGCAGCAUCUAGUGGGGUGAAUCCUAUCCAGGAUCCUACGCUGCAUUUAGUCAUCCCGGCUCCUGAGGCUCCUCCGAUCUGUGACAACUUCUGGGUCUGUCCUUGUUUUUCAUGACCUGAUGCUUUUGAAGAGCAGCAGUCAGCAUCUUGCAGAAUGUUCCUCAGUUUGGAUUUAUCUACAGUUUUCUUGUGAUUAGACUGAGGCUGUGGGUUUUGGGGAAGAAGAUGGAGUGCCCUUCUUAUCACAUUGUAUCUUAUCAGAGAGUAAGUGGUUGCAAGAAGAUCUAUCCCUGGUGGCAUGAACCUUGUUGCCUUCAAUAGGGUGGUGACUGCCAGGAUUCCUCACUGGAGAGCUGCUGUUUUUCCCAUCCGUAUCAGUUUCCAGGGCUGCUGUAACAAAUCACCACAAACUAGAUAGCUUAAAACAACAGAAAUUCAUUCCCACAGAGGAUGGAAGCCAGAAGUCUGAAAUCAAGGUGUCUGCAGAGCCAUACUACUUCUGGAGGCUCCAGGGAGGAUCCAUCCUCGCCUCUUCCAGCUUCUGCUGGUUGCCAACAGCCCCUGGGGACCCCUCACUCCAGUCUCUGCCUCUGUCUUCACAUAGCCUUCUCCUUGCAUGACUCGGCAUGUCUGUGUCUCUGAGUCUUAUAAGAACACCAGUCGUCUUGGGUCUACGGCCCACCCUCAUCUUAACCAGUCACAUCUGCAUAACCCCAGUUUCCAAAUAAGGCCACAUUCACAGGUACCAGGGGUUAGGACUUCAUCAUACCGUUAUAGGGCACAUGAUUCCACCCAUAACAACUCCUUCGAUUUACACUUGGCAAUGAUCACUUUCGCUGCUUUAUGCAGAAUGCUCUGUUGGGGGUAAGGGCAAAGCAGGGAGGCCAAUUAAAAGGUCAUCACUGUCACUGAGGCAAGAAAAGGGACACUAGGGGUCUAGACCAGGGUGGGGGCAAAGGCCCUGGAGGGCAGGGUCUGCACUCAGAAUACAUUUUGGAGGCGGAGCCAAUAGGACCUGCUGGUGAGUGGGUGUGUGUGUGGGAUAUUGAGGGAAAGACAAGAAUCAAUGACUCUCCAGUGUUUGGCUGGAGCCACAGUAAGGUGCCACUUAGUGUGACACAGGAGACCCAUGGAGGGACAGGCUGGCAGUGCUACGUCUGAUCAUGUUAGGACAUCCAAGGAGGGAGGUUAAGGUGCUACAUCUCCCAGCCCCAGAGGAGUUGAGGGGUCUCCCAGCAAAGCAAUGACAGCCGCAAGAGAAGAGGCCGGGUGCGGUGGCUCACGCCUGUAAUCCCAGCACUUUGGGAGGCCGAGGCGGGC
rnacentral:lncRNA from 10 species